rnacentral:tRNA from 1 species
GGAGUGGCCUCGUGGUAUGAUUCUCGCUUCGGGUGCGAGAGGUCCCGGGUUCGGUUCCCGGUGAGGCCC